CAAGAGACCCAGAAAAUGGAGGGAACAAAUUAAUGAAGUGGACCAUCUGCUAACUAUGAAGUGGAGAGAACAGAAAGAUAUUCAGAAGGAUAUUCAAGCAAACAAGACAGCUCUGGAGGUAACAAUGAAAUUAUUAUUAUUAGGCAACUAAGUGGAGCAGUGGAUAGAAGGCUGGUUUUGAAGUCAGGAAGACCUGAAUUGCCUCAGACACUCAACAUUUGUGUGACACUGGGCAAGUCAUUUAACCUCUCUAAGCCUCAGUUUCUUCAUCUAUAAAAUGGAGUUGAUAAUAACAUCUACCUUACAAGACUGUUGUAAAGGUCAAAGGG
rnacentral:lncRNA from 1 species